CCUGGGUCUGUGCAUUGACCUGGCUCACGGUGGCCUGCAGGUCAUUCCAGCUCAGGAAGUCCUCACCCAUCCCACGCUCCUGUCGCAAUUUCAGCAGGGCAUCGAAGUAACGCUGGGCAUUUUCUCCUUCCACCUCAGCCAGGCCUGUGGCAGGGUUCACCAGGCUGCUCCAGAAGCCACUGGCAUCCCGGGCCUCCAGGGCCCGGUUAAUCAGGACCACAGCUGAGAG
rnacentral:lncRNA from 1 species